UUGUAACGAUGAUUUGGAUAUUCUUUUACUCGCUCAUCAGAAUCUCAGCAGGAUGUCAAUUGCAUGAUGACACCACUAUUGAAGUCUCCAAAUACUCUGGUGAAGAUGUUCUCCUGCCAUGCUCCUGUGUUGAUGGCCAGACGCACAGCAGAGGCUUGAGAUGGAUAAAAAAUCCAGGAGCUUCAGAUACAGUGAUUUACGAACAGGCACGUAUACAUGAAGACUACAGAGACAGGGUCCGGUUAUUUGUUGAAGACUCUCCAGGAAAUCGCUCCCUUUUCAUAUCACGCCUCACUAAAGGAGAUGAGGGAGACUACAGAUGUGAGGACAAAUCUCACUACAGAGACAUUAGACUUCAAAUAACAGAUUCACCACCUGUACCCCCAACAACUCCUACAACAUCUACAACACCAGGACCUAAACCCACUGAUGACAAAGGUUGAGUCUGAUUAUCAAGAGUUCGAUGAUCAAAU